rnacentral:rRNA from 1 species
UACGUAGGGGCAAGCGUUGUCCGGAAUGAUUGGGCGUAAAGGGCGCGUAGGCGGCUUUAUAAGUCUGGAGUGAAAGUCCUCUUUUCAAGGGAGGAAUUGCUUUGGAAACUAUAGAGCUUGAGUGCAGGAGAGGUUAUCGGAAUUCCCGGUGUAGCGGUGAAAUGCGUAGAUAUCGGGAGGAACAUCGGUGGCGAAGGCGGCUUACUGGGCUUCAACUGACGCUUAAGCGCGAAAGCUAGGGUAGCGAACGGGAUUAGAUACCCCGGUAGUCCCUGAGCGGGCU